UUGGCAACGGAGCGGCCCUCCCUCACUCUCCCGUGGGGCCCGAGAGGGUCCAGGGGUGAGGGGAGCCAGUGGCGGCAGCCUGCCUCAGUGCGUGUUCUCCGAGCUCUUCCUGACCUUGCUGGGAGUGUGUCUGAUCAAACGUUUCCCCUGUGACUAAAUAUUUGGUCACGGCAGCAGGAGAGAAUUCCAUCAGCGGACAGCUCUAUUUUUAAGGCUCUGGCUUUGUUUUCUGUUUCCCAAGAGGCAGCCCCUGCAGCAGGCUGGAGCCUCUGACACUGACAGCCUGUCUCGUGUAAUGUUAAGCAGGCAUCGGACACUUGCUGGAAGGCAGGGAAUUGCAAUGGAAAACGGUGGAGGUGAGAGGCUGUGCUCCUCAGGGUGAAGGCAGCUUCUGUGCUCCUGAGAUCUACUGUCAAGCCAAGGUCAACAGGAAGAAAAUCUUUGAUGUACUUUAGUUCUGGAUUCAAGAGUAUUUCUGACAUCUGGGCUACAUGGCAUGUCUGGAUGUUUUUCUACUUCCUCAGACUUCCUGGAUCGAAAUUAAGCUUCUCACCUUUAACGAUCCCAGCUGUGAGCUUUUGCCUGCUAGGAACAGAGUCCCAGUUCACACAGGACCCCCAGCUACCUCAGGACCCUGGACAGAGUCCCGGCUCACAUAGGACCCCCAGCUCCCUCACACCCACUGACUGAUGAACGCCUGUGUGUUUUGUAUCGGUAACCUGAAUCAGGUAAAAGCUGCAUGGAGAGAUGGGAGGGGGCGGGCACAAGGAUUGUGGUGACAUCCCCCUGUGGGUGCGGGACCUGCAGCCUUAGGGGCAUGUGGCCUGGUGUCUGCUGUCUCCAUGCCAGGUGUUCAGGCACUGCCAUCAUCUUGGGGUCAGCAUGUAGGGCCCUGCUGGAGUUCACACUCAGCCCUACCGGGCAUCAGAUUCUGUCUGGGAUGUACUGCAGGAGUUAGAGACGUGGGUUGGAAGUGGGGCUCAGAGAUCAGAGACGAAUAUGGCUGACUGAGAAUUAGGCUGGGCUCCAGCUCUGGGUACAAUGGGUGGAAAAGUCAGAGGUGCAGCAGCUGCUCAGGAAUCUGGUGGGAAGAGGCUCAGCUCACCUGAGUGGCCAGGCCUCUAGGCCCGGCGAUGGGGACUCCAAGGCGAGCAGCCCGGAGGUGCUUCUGGUUUUCCCAUCAGCCCCGGUCAGU